AAAAAACAACUAACAUGUCAUCAUGUUAUUUAUUAAUAGUAAUAUUUAUUUUAGCAUACAAAUCAGGUGUGGCCCCCAAACAAAGACCGGUUCAAUCGGGUCCCACCGUUUCAAAACUCAACCUUCUCUGUAUUUCCUUUGGCAUGAACAACAAUGUCCGAAUUUCCCAAACUACCCUUCUCUUUCCCAUACAACCCAAACCAAACUCCCUCUCCGUUAUCCAAGGGUAUUUUUGUCAUCGUUCUUCGGACUCCCGGUUCGCCGUAUCCGAGACAUGUCACGAUAUUUUUCCAUUCCCGGUCUCUCCGUCAAAUCCCUUCCGUCCAUCCCAAAUCCAACGGUGCUAAAUGUUCCCACGUGUUAUCGACGCUGACGCCAUCAAACACUCCCGCGCGCCAACGUCGGCGCACGCGCGCCCCCGGCGGACUCACAUGCUUCCCACGCGCCGGCCCCUUCGCCGCCCUCUAAUACAUACGUGUGACCGUGAGAGAAAGCCCCAUUUAGGGUUAGGGUUAGGGUUUCGGUGUUCAUGGAGAGCUCGCCGCCGAGGAAGCCUCCCAACCCGGCGUUGCCGUAUCGUGAGGACUGCUGGAGCGAAGGAGAGACGUCGGUGCUCGUUGACGCUUGGGGCGAUCGGUACGUUGAGCUCAGCCGGGGGAAUCUCCGGCAGAAGCACUGGCAGGAGGUCGCUGAUGCUGUGAACUCGCGGCCGGCCGGAGCUCGCCGGCCGCCGCGCACCGACGUGCAGUGCAAGAACCGGAUCGAUACUCUUAAGAAGAAGUACAAGAUCGAGAAGGCCCGGAUCGUGGAUUCCGGCGGCGCCAUCACUAGCCAGUGGCAAUUCUUCACUCGCCUCGAUGCUCUCAUCGGUUCCUCCAUCUCCGGGUCGAAGAAACCUUCACCGCCUUCACCCCCGCCGCCGCUGGCCUUGCCGCUCCCGUACCACCGGAAGAGCUCCCCUCUUCCUCUCCCCGCCGCCGCUGCAGUCUCAUCCCGCCCGGAGAAGCGCCACCUCCCAGCACUGCCUCCUGUGAACGAUUCCUUCCGGAGAAGGUUUACCACCGCCGCCGCAGCAGCAGCCGCAGCUGCGGCUGCCUCUGUCGAGGUCGACACCGGAUCAUCGUCUAGGUCAUUUGGAUCACCGAGAUCCAGUCGGGAGCGGCCGGCGAAGAGGUGGAAGAAGGGAAGGGAGGAUGAAACGGACGGAAUCCGGGCACUGGCCCGCGCGAUCACGAGGUUUGGGGAGAUGUACGAGAAGGUGGAGGGGGCGAAGCAGCGGCAGAUGAUGGAGCUGGAGCGGCAGCGGAUGGAGUUCGCGAAGAACUUGGAGUUCCAGAGGAUGGAAAUCUUCGUUGAUUCACAGAUCAAGCUCGAGAAGAUCAAGCGAUCAGGGAGAUCAGACGCUGUUGAGCUUGGAUCUUUAGCUGCUCUUCCUUUCCUCUUCGAUUCCGUCUCCAUGAACCUGAUUGAAAAUUAUUCAACUUUUGCUCCAAAUCUGAAGGUGCUUGUUUGAUACUUUAUGUGUUGGACUUGUGAUUGAGGAGAGAUUGAAGCUUUUUUUAGGAUGGUGGUACUUCUUAUACACUUGAACAAACUUCAAAUUUGUAUGGAGGAUGAUGUUGUGAUUGAUGGCCAUUCAUUCACGAGGACCAGAUGAGAAGGAUUGAAGAAAUCACGGUUAUGAAACAAUAUAUAUAUAUAUAUCUGUAUAUUUGCAUACUAUUGUGGAAGGUCUAUGGGAACAAGGGGUGUGAAUUUACAGUGCUUGUGAAGCACUCGAGUUAAGAUGAUAUAAUUAUACCACAGCAUCUAACUUUGUUACCCAGUGAUCAUACUUAUUGAGAUAUGUGUUUUUAAAAUACAUGUCUUGGUA